rnacentral:rRNA from 1 species
GGUGGCCGCAGAGAAUAGGCCCAAGCGACUGUUUACCAAAAACAUAGGUUUCUGCUAAGUCGCAAGACGAUGUAUAGGAGCUGACGCCUGCCCGGUGCUGGAAGGUUAAGGGGAUCUGUUAGAGCAAUCGAAGCAGUGAACUUAAGCCCCAGUAAACGGCGGCCGUAACUAUAACGGUCCUAAGGUAGCGAAAUUCCUUGUCGGGUAAGUUCCGACCCGCACGAAAGGCGUAACGAUUUGGGCACUGUCUCAACAACAGACUCGGUGAAAUUGUAAUUCCGGUGAAGAUGCCGGAUACCUGCGACAGGACGGAAAGACCCCAUGGAGCUUUACUGUAGCUUGACAUUGGGUCUUGGUACUACAUGUACAGGAUAGGUGGGAGGCUUUGAAACCAGGACGCCAGUUUUGGCGGAGCCAUCCUUGGGAUACCACCCUUGUAGUACUGGGACUCUAACCAUAGGCCAUGAAUCUGGUCUUGGGACACUGUCAGGUGGGCAGUUUGACUGGGGCGGUCGCCUCCCAAAAGG